AGUGGCGGACGGGUGAGUAACGCGUGAGAAUCUGCCUUGGGGUCGGGGACAACCACUGGAAACGGUGGCUAAUACCGGAUAAGCCGAUUGGUGAAAGAUUUAUUGCCCGAAGAGGAGCUCGCGUCUGAUUAGCUAGUUGGUGAGGUAAGAGCUCACCAAGGCAGCGAUCAGUAGCUGGUCUGAGAGGACGAUCAGCCACACUGGGACUGAGACACGGCCCAGACUCCUACGGGAGGCAGCAGUGAGGAAUUUUCCGCAAUGGGCGAAAGCCUGACGGAGCAAGACCGCGUGAGGGAGGAAGGCUCUUGGGUUGUAAACCUCUUUUCUCAGGGAAGAAGCUCUGACGGUACCUGAGGAAUCAGCCUCGGCUAACUCCGUGCCAGCAGCCGCGGUAAUACGGAGGAGGCAAGCGUUAUCCGGAAUUAUUGGGCGUAAAGCGUCCGCAGGUGGCGAUUCAAGUCUGCUGUCAAAGCACGGGGCUUAACUCCGUAAAGGCAGUGGAAACUGAAUAGCUAGAGUGCCGUAGGGGUAGAGGGAAUUCCCGGUGUAGCGGUGAAAUGCGUAGAGAUCGGGAAGAACAUCGGUGGCGAAAGCGCUCUACUGGACGGCAACUGACACUCAGGGACGAAAGCUAGGGGAGCGAAUGGGAUUAGAUACCCC
rnacentral:rRNA from 1 species